UACGAAGGGGGCUAGCGUUGUUCGGAAUUACUGGGCGUAAAGCGCGCGUAGGCGGUGAUCUUUGUCAGAGGUGAAAUCCCGAGGCUCAACUUCGGAAUUGCCUUUGAAACGGGAUCGCUUGAGUCCGAGAGAGGAUGGCGGAAUUCCUAGUGUAGAGGUGAAAUUCGUAGAUAUUAGGAAGAACACCGGUGGCGAAGGCGGCCAUCUGGCUCGGUACUGACGCUCAGG
rnacentral:rRNA from 1 species